AUUGAACGCUGGCGGCAGGCCUAACACAUGCAAGUCGAGCGGAUGAAGGGAGCUUGCUCCUGGAUUCAGCGGCGGACGGGUGAGUAAUGCCUAGGAAUCUGCCUGGUAGGGGGGGAUAACGUCCGGAAACGGGCGCUAAUACCGCAUACGUCCUGCGGGAGAAAGUGGGGGAUCUUCGGACCUCACGCUAUCAGAUGAGCCUAGGUCGGAUUAGCUAGUUGGUGGGGUAAAGGCCUACCAAGGCGACGAUCCGUAACUGGUCUGAGAGGCUGAUCAGUCACACGGGAACUGAGACACGCUCCAGACUCCUACGAGAGGCAGCAGUGGCGAAUAUUGGACAGUGGGCGAAAGCCUGAUCCAGCCAUGCCGCGUGUGUGAAGAAGGUCUUCGGAUUGUAAAGCACUUUAAGUUGGGAGGAAGGGCAGUAAGUUGAUACCUUGCUGUUUUGACGUUACCAACAGAAUAAGCACCGGCUAACUUCGUG
rnacentral:rRNA from 1 species